rnacentral:rRNA from 1 species
AUUGAACGCUGGCGGCGUGCCUAACACAUGCAAGUCGAACGCGCUCCAUUCGGUAGCAAUACUGAUGAAGAGCGAGUGGCGAACGGGUGAGUAGCACGUGAGCAACCUGCCCCGAAGACUGGGACAACACCGGGAAACCGGUGCUAAUACCGGAUAUCCUUAUCGGACCGCAUGAUCUGAUAAGGAAACGUUUUUUCGCUUCGGGAGGGGCUCGCGGCCUAUCAGCUUGUUGGUGGGGUAAUGGCCUACCAAGGCAUCGACGGGUAGCUG